GAAAAAAACUGUGUGACACAAUUUGAGCUUGCUAUAGGAAGAAAGUCUAACCUAUUCUGGUGUUCUCUUCCCCGUGAGACAAGCCAUUUUGUAGGCUCAAACAAA
ensembl:snoRNA LOC120096389 small nucleolar RNA SNORA28